rnacentral:rRNA from 1 species
GCUGGACGGCGUGCUUAGACAUGGAAGUCGAACGAUGACCCCGUGCUUGCACGGGUGAUUAGUGGCGAACGGGUGAGUAACACGUGAGUAACCUGCCCCCGACUUUGGGAUAAGCCCGGGAAACUGGGUCUAAUACCGGAUAUGACUUCUUACCGCAUGGUGGGUUGUUGAAAGAUUUAUCGGUGGGGGAUGGACUCGCGGCCUAUCAGCUUGUUGGUGAGGUAAUGGCUCACCAAGGCGACGACGGGUAGCCGGCCUGAGAGGGUGACCGGCCACACUGGGACUGAGACACGGCCCAGACUCCUACGGGAGGCAGCAGUGGGGAAUAUUGCACAAUGGGCGAAAGCCUGAUGCAGCGACGCCGCGUGAGGGAUGACGGCCUUCGGGUUGUAAACCUCUUUCAGUAGGGAAGAAGCGAAAGUGACGGUACCUGCAGAAGAAGCGCCGGCUAACUACGUGCCAGCAGCCGCGGUAAUACGUAGGGCGCAAGCGUUAUCCGGAUUUAUUGGGCGUAAAGAGCUCGUAGGCGGUUUGUCGCGUCUGCCGUGAAAGUCCGAGGCUCAACCUCGGAUCUGCGGUGGGUACGGGCAGACUAGAGUGAUGUAGGGGAGACUGGAAUUCCUGGUGUAGCGGUGAAAUGCGCAGAUAUCAGGAGGAACACCGAUGGCGAAGGCAGGUCUCUGGGCAUUUACUGACGCUGAGGAGCGAAAGCAUGGGGAGCGAACAGGAUUAGAUACCCUGGUAGUCCAUGCCGUAAACGUUGGGCACUAGGUGUGGGGGACAUUCCACGUUUUCCGCGCCGUAGCUAACGCAUUAAGUGCCCCGCCUGGGGAGUACGGCCGCAAGGCUAAAACUCAAAGGAAUUGACGGGGCCCGCACAAGCGGCGGAGCAUGCGGAUUAUUCGAUGCUACGCGA